rnacentral:pre_miRNA from 2 species
CCAGACGGACGGAUCCGCUGGCGGGAAGGCUUGGGUUGCCGGAUCUAGCGGCCAUGGCCUCCUCCCCGGCAGAUCUGGUCGCAGGA